rnacentral:misc_RNA from 1 species
UUCAUUUCUCACAUCCCAAAUAUUCAAUUUGAUUGGGAAAGAAUUAAAUGCACAGGAUAAUGAAGGACGAGUCAGUGCUUCUUCUCUUCAAUUCGCAAAUUCAAUUUAUUUUUUUUUAUCUGAACUUAUGUGAGAACAUUUUCACUCUCUGAUUCUGUUUGCACAGGAUGAUGUGAAGGAUAAUUAUUCUAUGCACAACAAAUUUAGCCACUCUAUUCCUUGGGGAAAGAGUAAUAAACUGGCUCAUCAAGAAAGAGGAGUCCCACGGUUACUGGUUUUUUACAUCCCUGAAAUUCUAAUAAAUUGGGAAGUGUUGAACAAAUGCAAACGGUGCUGAGUGCAUUAGCAGGUCACGCUUCUAUCCAUUGUAUUCUUUGGAAUAGAGUCUACUUCAAGAAGAUUCAUACACAGGGAAUUUUGGUGCAUAUUCAAGUCAAUUUGAUCAUCAGUGAUAUAGUUUUGCUGGAUUUUAAGAAUUUUACAUGGAAUUUCACAUUGUCCACAUCUCUGAAAAUUCCAAAAAGAAUGGUGGUUACAGAACAAAACAAGAAAUGAGGAGCUCCAGUGCUACAAUUACAACCUGGCUAUGCUUUUCCAAAUAUAUUAGAUAUGUCAUAUUCUUGGAGUCUUGUUUCUUUUCUUUUUCUUCUUCCUCGAUCAUUCCUCCUCUCUCUGAUUUGAAGAAGCUCUGAUUUGCCACAUAGAAGAACUCGAAUCUCUACUGCUAGAUGGACUGCAGAAUCUCACUUCUCUUCAAUAAUUAGAGAUUUGGAGAUGCCCAAGAUUGACGUCUCUGCCUUGGGAGAUGUGUUGCUCACCUCUGUUGGCUAUUGAUUAGUGUAGAGACAAGAAUUGAGUGUGAGGAACAUGAGAGUGCAGAGACAGGAACAGAGCAAAGAGGGAGAAGAAAAUUCUGGGUUUUGGGCUAUAUGAGCAGAUUUGAUCAACUUGACAAUCGAAAAGUCAAUUGUGGUCCGAUUCAAGCUGAUUUGUUUAGGAUUGAUUUUUUCGUACCAAUGCUGUUGGUUUGGGUUUUGGCCUGCUAUGCUUGUUUUCUGUUUUGCUUUCGGAACUCUAUUUUGUGAUGUUUCUUUUCAGAUCUGUAUUGAGAUGUAUGCUUCUUUUUCACUUAACAUGCUAGAUCCUAAGUUGGGAAUCCUGGGGAAACCUGCUGGUUUGGGUUUAGCUGGUUUUGUCCAUGCUAAGUUUUUCAUGGUUUUAUUAAUAUAAGUAAUGUCACUUCAAUCUUCAUUCUGUAUGGUUGGAUUAUGGAUUGGAGCUCUCCAAACCAAAAAUAGUUUCCAAAACAAUAAUGUGCUAUUUAGUUAAAUUUUGCACUUUUCUACAUUUUCUUUUCCUUUUUUU